CCCUUGCGGUCACAGCCGGAAGCGGCUCGCAGGUUGGAGGCUUGCCAUCCCGCCGGAACUGAGUCGCCGCGCUGCAGGUUCCCACCCGGAGAGGUGUCCGACGCUCUCGCAGACCGGCAACAUGGCGUGGUCCGGAAAUAAGGCAGCUGUUGUGCUAUGUAUGGAUGUGGGCUUUGCUAUGAGUAACUCCUGUCCUGGUGAAGAAUCUCCUUUUGAACAAGCAAAGAAAGUGAUGACCAUGUUUGUCCAACGACAGGUGUUUGCUGAGAGCAAGAAUGAGAUUGCUUUGGUCCUGUUUGGUACAGAUGGCACUGAGAAUGCCCUUGCUGCUGGGGACCAGUAUCAGAACAUCACAGUACACAGACACCUGAUGCUACCAGAUUUUGAUUUGCUAGAGGACAUUGAAAGCCGAAUCCAACCAGGUUCUCAACAAGCUGACUUCCUGGAUGCCCUGAUUGUGUGCAUGGAUGUGAUUCAGAAUGAAACUGUAGGAAAGAAGUUUGAGAAGAAGCAUAUUGAAGUGUUCACUGACCUCAACAGCCCAUUCAGCAAAGAUCAGCUAGAUAUUAUAAUUCAUAACUUGAAGAAAUCUGGCAUCUCCCUCCAGUUCUUUUUGCCCUUCCCAAUUGCCAAGAUAAAUGGUACUGGGGACAGAGGAGAUGGCAGCUUGUACUUAGAUGAUCGUGGACCCUCCUUUCCUCAAAAAGGUAUUACUGAGCAGCAAAAAGAAGGCAUUCAGAUGGUGAAAAAUGUGAUGAUGUCUUUAGAAGGUGAAGAUGGGCUGGAUGAAAUUUAUUCCUUCCGUGAGAGUCUGAGACAACUAUGUGUCUUUAAGAAAAUUGAGAGGCGUUCCAUGCCCUGGUCCUGCCAGCUGACCAUUGGCUCCAAUUUGUCUAUAAAGAUCGUGGCCUAUAAAUCGAUUACUUUGGAGCAAAUUAAAAAGACUUGGAUGGUUGUGGAUGCAAGAACCCUAAAGAAAGAAGAUAUACAAAAAGAAACAGUUUAUUGCUUAAAUGAUGAUGAUGAAACUGAAGUUCCCAAAGAAGAUACUAUUCAAGGGUUCCGCUAUGGAAGCGAUAUAGUUCCUUUCUCUAAAGUGGAUGAGGAACAAAUGAAAUACAAAUCGGAGGGGAAGUGCUUCUCUGUUUUGGGAUUUUGUAGAUCUUCUCAGGUCCAGAGAAAAUUCUUUAUGGGAAGUCAAGUUCUAAAGGUCUUUGCAGCAAAAGGUGAUAAGGCGGCAGCAGUUGCACUUUCCUCCUUGGUUCAUGCCUUGGAUGAAUUAGACAUGGUGGCUGUAGUUCGAUACGUUUAUGACAGAAGAGCUAAUCCUCAAGUUGGUGUGGCUUUUCCUUAUAUCAAGGAUGCCUAUGAGUGCUUAGUGUAUGUGCAGCUGCCUUUCAUGGAAGACUUGCGGCAAUAUAUGUUUUCAUCCCUGAAAAAUAAUAAGAAAUUUACUCCCACAGAGGCACAGUUGAGUGCUGUUGAUGCUUUAAUCGACUCUAUGAGCUUGGUAAAGGAAGACAAGGAGGAAGACACCAUUGAAGACUUGUUUCCAACCACCAAGAUCCCAAAUCCUGCAUUUCAGAGAUUAUUUCAGUGUCUGCUGCACAGAGCUUUACAUCCUCAAGAGCCUCUGCCCCCAAUUCAGCAACAUAUUUUGAAUAUGCUAGAGCCCCCCACUGAAGUGACAGCAAAAUGUCAGAUUCCUCUCUCUAAAAUAAAGAACCUUUUCCCUCUGACUGAAGCCAUCAAGAAAAAGGAUCACGUAACUGCUCAGGACAUUUUCCAAGACAACCAUGAAGAGGGUCCCACUGCUAAAAAAUGUAAGACUGAGGAAGGGGAAGCCCACUUCAGUGUUUCAGGCUUGGCUGAAGUCAAUAUCACAAAGGUUGGAAGUGUGAAUCCUGUUGAAAACUUCCGUGCUCUAGUGAGACAGAAGAAUGCCAGCUUUGAGGAAGCAUGUCAUCAGCUAAUAAGUCACAUUGAACAGUUUUUGGAUACUAACGAAACACCAUAUUUUAUGAAGAGCAUGGACUGCAUCAAAGCCUUCCGGGAAGAAGCCAUUCAGUUUUCAGAAGAACAGCACUUCAACAGUUUCAUGAAAUCCCUUCGAGAGAAAGUGGAAGUUAAACAGUUAAAUCAUUUCUGGGACAUUGUUGUUCAGGAUGGAAUCACUCUCAUCACCAAAGAUGAAGCCUCUGGAAGUUCUGUCACAGCUGAGGAAGCCAAAAAGUUUCUGGCCCCCAAAGAAAAACCACAUGAAGACAAAGCAGCCAUGUUUGAAGAAGGUGGUGAUGUAGAUGAUUUGCUGGACAUGAUGUAAGUCAUGGAUGUUUGGAGAAUCUAAGAGAGCUGCCAUCUUCAUAGUGCUGGAGACUCUAAACACAACAACCUGGAAGCCAUUCAGGGGAACCCGAAGCUGUGGAGAUCAUUUCAACAGGUUACUUGGAAGUGAAUUCCCCUCCGUCUCUAUAGCGUGAACACGUGCAUACAUGUUGUAAGAGAUAAUUUAGACCUUAUACAAAGUUUAUAAAGAGGCAUUCUUUUUGUUUGGCAUAUUAUUUCUUUUGUGAUUUAUUCUUCUUAGUCUAUUACACACAUACUUCGAAGUUUCAGGAAAAUAGAUUCUUCCAGACCUGGUGUAUUGAUGAGGAUUACUCAUGAAAUGAUUAGCAUCUCCUCUGGAACCAGGGCAUGAUCACUGGGAAGACAGUAUCUUCUCAAAGGGGAUUUGAAGAUGACUUUGCAGAAGGUGCAUGGAUAAUGAGAACAGCUGCUGCCUGGAUGUAGAGGGAGCUACCCAGAUAUGCCUCAGCUGCAGCUCAGAGCCCAGACCUACCUGCAUUUGCACUGCAGCAUUGUGGGGCAGGAGGCUACUAACAGGGCUCCGAUAGACACACUAUGGUAUUGGCAUGUGUGAGUAUCCAGAUUUCUAUAAGUUUCUCCCUGUUAUCUUCUUAGCAGGCUGGGAAUUGUAACCACCCUCACAAGGUUAUUGUUAGGAUUAACAGCAUAUAGUCUAUUGGCUAACAGGGAUGGAAAAUAAAUGGGAAAUAAAUAGAAUUGCAUAGAAUUCUCCCCUUAAGAACUGGUGCAUUUUUGUUGGGUAAACACUUGGUAUUUGGAAGAUGGAAUGGUGGUAUACACAACAAGGAGUGUAGAAGGAAGAUGGGACCCUGCAGAGCUGGAAGGAGGAGGUGGUGUCCCUGCUGUUCUGGCUGGUUUCCAACCAGAGUAUUGAUGAAGGUUAUAUUAUAAAUGAGGGCAGGAUUGUAGACAAGGAGGUGGGUGAGAAGAGAAGAGUGAUGGGACAGCUGCAUGGUAACUGGGGAACAAGGAAGAUCAGAUGUUCGUGGGCAUUCUUUUCUUCAUUUGUCCUGGGUACGGUGAAAGUGAAUAUCCAUCUCCCCACUAAAUGUUCAGUGUAACACCCAUUUCUUACUAGUGUGUUUGGAGUUGGUUAUUGUAGGGGAUGCAUAUCAGUACUGUGGACUGUGACUUGUUUCAAGGAGACUAAGGGUAAAAACAGACUGCCCAGGGGGAGUCCAUUCAUCUCUGAAUUGUGUGCAUGCCUUGCUUCUAAACCUGAAAUCAGACAAAUGUAAAUGGCUAUGUACUCUCCUGCAUAGAGGUUGAAAUAGAGAACCCUGUACUUUCACCUACAGCCAAAAUCGAACAUCUGUGUAACUCCCUAUUUAUAAUUACGAACAAAAAUGUACUUCGUUCUUGAAAGUAACUGCAGGUAACAACUUAUCCAGGAAAGCACAAAAGGUAGCAUAUGAGACAUUUGUCUAUGCUCAGAACUUUUAAGUUUGCAUUCCAAGCUCUUAGUUUGAAUUUAAGUGAACUCAAACUGGAGCAGGAUGAAAUACAAUAUCUAAGGACUGCAUGUAUAUCACAUGGCCACAUCACCUUUGCUGUUUAUUUCAACGUUGCUGUGCGUAGUAUUAAUGCACUGCCCCAUCCCACCCUCACAUCCCAGCCCCUAGUCUGGUAGUAGUGUUAAGACUCUUGCCGACUGAGGGAUCACCUCUGGUGGUUUUGAAAACAGGAAAGGUAUUUUCUCUUUCCUUUCUCUGGUAGUCUUUCAUUCCAGGUAGACAUAGCCCUGCCCAGAGACAGAGGGACAGACAUAGUAAAUCCCUGGCAAAACUAGGCAAUCUUAUAUAAUGUAUGCAUGACUUUAUCUCUGCUCUAGUAAGGGUAAAGGUUGAAAAACAUGCUUUAUUUCUUAUCAGUUUGUAUUGAUAGAUGUUGGCCAAUGGAGUGGGUAUGAGAGUCUGAGAUUCCUGAAGCCAGAUGGUAUAAUACCCUAGCCCCACCCGGAAUGUCUGAGAAGGGUUGGAGGAAGCCAGCAGAAAGUUUCCUAAGUGUAUCCUGUCUUUUCUGCAGCCUUAGCAACACAUAAGAACCAUCUUUGUCAACACUGAAUUCCUGUGACCUGAGUCCCAAUGUUUGCCAUGAGAUGAAGUGGUUUGCCGCCACUUCUAGGUGAGAAUGGACCCAUAUUAGAGAAAAUUGGAGUCUGUUCUGGGCCUGAUAAAAAGCUGAGGAAUGAGAUCUAUGCAAAGUCAUAAAAAUACCAGUCCACUUUUGACUUUUUUUUACAUUUUCAUCAAAUGGACAGAACUGAGACAGGCAGAGUCUUCCCCCAUUUUUGUCUGAAGGAGUCAGGGAAAAGACAUGGGACAAAGGGGCCUCUGGCUGCUGCUAGGAACACUCCAUUUGUAGGUCUUCUAAAGUUUAUGAGGAACUGAGUAUGCUGGCACACCCCGUAAUCCCAGCUACUCAGGAGGCUGAGGCAGUAAGAUCACAAGUUUAAGGCAAGCCUUAGCAACUUGUCAAGGCUAAUAAAAAUGGCUGGGCAUGUAGCACUCCUGACUUCAAUCCCCAGUACCAAAUAAAAGUUGGGGGGUUUUGUUUGUUUGUUUGUUUUUGCAUACCAGGGAUUGAACUCAAGGGCACUUGAUCACUAAGGCACAUCCCUACCCUAUUUAGUAUUUUUAUCUAGAGACAGGGUCUUGCUCAGUUGCUUAGUGACUUGCUUUUGCUGAAGCUAGCUUUGAACUCACAAUUCUCCUGCCUCAGCCUCCUGAGCCUCUGGGAUUACAGACGUGUACCACCAUGCCCAGCCAAAUAAGAGGUUUUUUGAAAAAUUAAAAAGCUGCUGGGAGGCGAAGGACUUUAAAAAGACACAAAAGCUAGAGUUCUAGAUGUUCUUCAAAGUGGUCUUGGUAGGCAAUGCCCUUGUUUUAGUCUUCCUUUUAAAGCAAACCAUAUGCCUUGUUUUGAUCAUUAUUCACAAGGUUUGAACAGAGGUAGGUGACUUUUUGCUGUUUUCAGACAUCAAAUACAUUCUCAAAAGUUAGAGACUACUACAUAUAACUAAAGGAUUUAUCAUAAACUCCAAAGAUAAUUUGAAAGAAACUUUUGCUCAUUUUGGUACAAAUGACCUUAGUUUCCAUUUCAAAGGAAUCCUGUUCUCCAGCAGCAGGAGGUUUGCUAGGGCUUGUGUUUAUUUAAAAAGAUCUGUGGACUCUUCUCCCUAGAUAAAGACUCAUAUCUUAUUAUCUCUCCUCACCACCACCCCCCUUCACUUGACACAGGCAAAUAAGCAGUGUGAGGACAGCAUGAUCUUUGGAAAAUCCAGAACCCGGAUACUUCUGGCAGUCCAUUUCACAGAAUCCUUUUAGUGUAAUUUCUUCAAAUCCAUAAUACCAUUAAUUAUGCUAAGGAAAAAAGCUGUCAGCCAUUUUAAUUUGCAUCCUGAUUUUUUAAAUGAUAAAGUAGCACAAAAUAUGUUCUUAGAAGGGAUGAAGUAAAGUUUCCUAGCUCUUACUGGUCUUUCUGGUAACAUGGCACAGUGGGGCACAUGUGAACUUUGCAAUAAGAUCUAUCAAAAGUUUUUUGGCUAUGACUAAUAGAAAUGCAAACCAAUGUUGGCUUAAAUGAAAGGCGUAUUUCUUGUUUAAUAAUGCCUUAUUUCUAAACAUUGUAAGAAGUCUGGCCUAGGCAGCUGGUGAUGAUUCCAUGGCCCAGUAAGGUAGAGACUUGGCAGUUUGUUUGACCCUUCCGUCAUCUUGUUCUCUUUCGAAAAAGGAAAGAAUGUAGAUAGGGCAGCACUAGCUGUGGCUGGAAGGAUAGCAGUCCUACCAGUGGUCCUGAUUUAACAGACUUUUUUGGGCAGCAGUUUGUCAUGCCCAAUCUUGCUGCGAGGGAGGCUGGGAAAGUGAAAAGACCAAUAUUUAUUCCAGUUAAGGGAGAAGUGAAGCAAGAUGGAUACUGGAUUAGCCAGCUGAUGGCUUGACAGCCAAUUGUUCAUAUAUUAUGUGUCUCGGUCAGUUUUGUGCUACUCGAACAGAACACCCAAGAGUGGGUAAUUUAUAAGGAAGAGAUUUGUUUAUUACAGCUCUAGAGCCUCAGAAGUCCAAAGCAGAGGAACCUGCUUAUGGUUAGGGCUUUCUGGAGACAUCCAUGGUAAAAUGUGGAAGAGGAAGGGAGGGAGGGAAGGAGACUGAACUCAUGUUUUUAUCAGAGAGAGGAAAAAAGGAGCUAACUCUUCUCUUGUCAGAAACCAGAUCUCUCAUAACUAUCCUACUCAUGAGAUAACAGAAUUAAUGCACUCUGAGGGCAGAGUUCUCAUGACCUGAUUACCUCUCAAAGCCCCACUUCUCCAUACUGUUGCAUUGAGGAUUCAGUUCCCAACACACAAACGUUGGGGGACAUAUUCAAACCACAGUACUUUGUAAACUCAGAAGUGACGUCAACCUUCUAGAUGCCAGUUCUGCUGCAUAUAUAGUAAUUGUGAGGUUUGUUUGAGGUUUACAGUCUGUUCAUUGAAGUAACACUUCCUAUGUAGUGCGCCAGUAUCAGAAACUUCAGUCUCUCCCAACCCUCCUGCUCCACCUGUCUUUUCCUCACAUCUUGUGUCAUUGCCAGAGAUUCUGCAGAAAUGGAGCUGGAAUAAUUCCCACCAUCUGUUGUAAGGCACAGGCCUCCCUGAAGGAACCAGAGAAGGCAUACCAGGUCCCUUCUACACAUUUUUAGCUGUCCCUAUACCAGAAUUUAGGUGAAUGCUUUGAGAAGGUGGAGCUGUUCCUUCCACCCAUCACCAGGGGUCUCCAGCUGGCCUAUCUGUGGCAACUGUGGGACCUGAGGGGAAGGGAGGAGAAUAGACAUGGAAUUUUAGUUCUUUAAUCCAGAGCGUCAGAGUUACUUAUUGAUUUCACAAUACUUUUUCCAUUUCUGUUCUUUUCCUAUUAGUCUGCUUUUUAUAGUGCCACCACAUAUGACUAUGAGACCAACCUGGUCAAAUACUACCUGCUGUAGCUCAGAUAUGGUUUGUUCCCCUGCAGUCAUGUGGCAGUUUAAUUCCCACUGCAAGGUGUUAAGAAAAUGGAAACUUACUGGUUUGUGGAGGUGGAACCUUCAGGAAGUGAUUAGGAUUAGAUAAUAUCAUAACAGUAGAGCUGCCAUGGCUGAGUCUGGCAGCCUUGUAAUAACAAGGGAGACCAGACAUACACACUCACAUAUUCCCUGUCUCACUACGUGAUGCUCUGUUAUAACUCAGGACUCUGCCAACAAGAAGACCGUGACCAGAUGCAGCCCCUAGACUUUGUGUCUCCAAAACCAAAGCAAACCUCUUUAUAAAGUAGGCUGCCUCAGGUGUUUCAUUAUACUAUUUGAAAGCAUACUGAUAACACUGCCUGUAGCAUAUCUUGGCUGUGUGACCUUGGCCAAGUUACUCAAUCAUUCUUGACCUCAGUUUCUAGAACUGUCAAAUAGGGUUUAUGUCAACUUAUAGGACUGCAGGAUGAAAUGAGGAUGAACCACAGAAUGCUUGGUAAGUGCAACAUAAAUUGCUUAAUAAGUUCCCAGUGAAUAUUUCCCAUUGUUAUUGGCCUCCCCAAGUCUAUAUUUAGACUUUUAGUAUACAAGCACCUGUCUGACUUUAAAAUGCUUUACUCUGCCUUCUAAGAAUAGAUACCCUAGCCUCAUAUAGAUCAGCCAUUAAAAAGCAACACUCAGACAAGCCCAGCAUUUUCUACAACUUGCUCUGGGAUCCAGUGCAUUUCUCAUAUAAGCAAUUCAUUUUCUUCUACAAAGUGGACAGCUUCCUCUCUGGAUGUUGGAAGCAGAAGAAUGGGAAGCUUUCUAAGAGAAAAGAACUAAAAGCUUGAGUUCUAGAUGGGAGGAGUUUUAUGUUUUAAGGCUUGGGAUCUUGGUCUGUCAAUCACAAUGUGUCCAUUCAACUGGCUCCUUUGUUUAAAGAUUUCCCUCCCCUCUUUCCAACUCCCUGUCCUGUAUCCUCCAAUGGUGUUGGGUUAGAUGCCUUUUAUGAGCCACUUGAUUAGUAUCCUGAUGAAAUCUUUAUCACCACACUGCCAUCCACGCACUGGCAUAGGGAGGCAGGAGAGGUAUGUGGUUCUAAUUAAUAGCUGGAACAGAGAGGACAUUUGCAGUUUUAAUACUGAAGUGUGUAAUGAGAGAGUGCACACAGGCAUGUAAAUGUGCGAGUAGGAAAAUACAUGUGUAUGCAUGAACUGAAACCCUCUAACACACGUCUACACUGUCAUUCCACCAAAAAACAUGAUUCCUGUGCCCAGCACACAUGCACACAUUCCCUUCCUCAGCCACUGUAUUUGUUUCGAAGGGCAUCUUCUUAAAAGGACAUCGGUCAUAUUGUAUUAGGAACCAACCCUACUCCAAUGUGAUCUUAUCUUAACUAAAUCUAUCGUCAAAGACCCUAUUUCUUAAUAAGGUCACAUUCUAAGGAGGUUGGGACUUCAACAUAGCUUUUGCGGGGAAGGCAAGUCAACCCAUAAUAGCAAUGGAGACUGGAGAGAAUAACUAUGUGGAGCAAAGAUCUGCAUGGUGUGGUGUUAGGGGGUGGGGGAGGAAAAGGGGACACACACAAUAAGCAGGGCUUCUUUGGGGAACAAUAGUACCUGAAACUUGGGGCUAAAUGGUUUUAGUCCUUUCCUAUAAAUAUAAGAAGUGUGUAUGUUUAUGUAUUCAGUGUUCUUGCUGUGUGAAAUGGUGAACAUUUGCCCAUCUUAUGUGGGUGGAAGAGAUCAGACUGCUAACUUGUGAGGAAAUAAUCUGUCUGCAUUUAUUGAGAAUGUGAUUAUGAAAUAAACUGCAAGUGUCCUGUAAAUGUCAGCUGUUAUUGAUCUGCCUGUGCCUCUGUGUCCUUUUAUUCACGAAUUCUAGUCUGUUAUAAAGAAAGAGAUCUAGUGGUCAGUGUAUUAUUGGGUUCUAGUGGUUAUGACCCUGACCUUUUACGUUUGUCCUUACGGGUAUUAUGUGGGCUACAGGGAUCUUAACCAGAGUGGCAGAAAGGAAUGCCUCUUUUAAUAAUUCAUCUGCCCCACAAGCAGGUCUCUAUGCCUACCCAUUCCCAUUCUAUUAAAUUCAACUUAAUAAUCAUGUAUUGAGCAUCUGCUAUAUCCAAAACCCUACUGGGCACUCCAGAGGAUUAGAGUUUGAAAAACAUACAUUGUUUGGGGGAAGUUCACAAAUAACCAGAAUCUACAGUGAGAGAAGGUCGUGAAGAAGACUUGAGAAGAGUUUCAGAAGCACUGAAGAGAUUAAUUUCAGUCUUAAUAACUGGGAUGCUUUCUGAGCUGGUAGCAGUUAAGACAACUGUGAAUGAAACAAUAAUUUGAUUCAGGAGAGAGGGGGAGGCCAUUUCAAUAGAGGACCCAGCAGAUGUCAUGACAGGCUCGGGAAAGGGUAAGUGGUGUGACUUACCUGAAGGUGAGGUGCUAUGAGAAAGGUUGGAUUAGAGAGAGGGUGAGGUGGUUAUCAUGGGAGAACCCCUGUUGGUAAAAAAUAAAGCAGUCAGAUGGGCGCAUAAGCCAGGUUAUGCUGACAGCAGGACACACAUAGGAUAGGAAGGCUUUGAAGAGGCAGGACACGAGAACCAUAUAGAGGCUGAGGGUCCAAACCAGGGAAGUCUCCAAGGAAUGGAGACUCAGGACGGCCUGACAGCUACUCAGGAAUGGAAAUCCAUCUCUCCCUGCAACUCUUGGGUUCUGGGAUCCUUGUGGGGGAAGUAGCUCAUUGUGAAGGGCAUGUGCCCAUAAGUCCCCACAGUGUACCUGUCAGGUUGGGUUUGCUUGUCCCCCAGUCUCUCCUCUCUUUCAGAGCAACUUUCUUGCCCUGCUCACUAUUUUUUUGACAACUGGCCCCCUCCUGCCUCAGCCAUGUCCCUCUCUGACCUCCCUUUUUAAGGAAAGUGCUUACGAUUUUUGUCUGCCUGUUUUCUGCAUCCUCCUCCUGUGAAGUUCUUGCCUCUGUCAUCUUUGCCUAGGUCCCUCAGGAAGAAGAAACAAGGCAUUAUAUUCCCAGGGCUGCAUGUGCACUGGCCCCACCCUUGUGCACCAAGAGCAUUUACUGAGCACCCUGCACCUUAUCCUGGCCAGCUCUGGGCUCCUGUCCCCCAACCCCACACUUUGGGAAAAGUAAGGUGAACUUUCCUGGGGAAGGAGACUCUGCAGGGAAUAUAAAAGAGGGAGAAGCAAUGGGAUCAACUAUGGAGAGCUUCCUCUCUCUGGCAUGGAUCUCUCUAGGAUCCAGCAGAAAUGAUGAUCUGGAAGAUGCUCCGAUUAAUUGCUUUCAGGCCCUGAGAUGGCACCUCCAUAGCCAGUCUUGGUUUUAAUUAAUCAUGCCAGCAGAUGGGCUGUCAUGAGCCCCAGCAGCCAAGGCUGCCGGAAACCACAACCACAACCUGCCCUCUGGAUCACUCCAAGUAUCCUCGUGUCCACCUGGCCUUGUCCCUACCGUGCCAAUUCAAUCCUGCUUUUUAGUUGGCAUUUGAGUUUUCUUCUAUAGAGCAUUAUGCCACUUUUCUUCUUUCACAGUUUGUGGGGAGGAGAGCAUUUUUGCACAGUGCCCCAUCUCUUUCUGCAGCCUGAGUCACAAGGGUGUAAUGGAUAUAGAACCAGGCUGCCCACUUGACAUGUGUCCAUGCAAGGAGAAGCCCUGGGCCUCCUCGUUGUGAAAAGCUUGGUGAUGAUGCUGUUCUUUGUGGGACACAGUCCCCUGUUUAUUGAGCAAUGGACAGGGACCAUUUUGUUGGGCUUAUUUCCUGGUGCUAUGUCAUCAUGAAUAUUUACUUUUGCUAAAAAGUAGUACACUAACUUAAUCCCUACUAUGAAAUCAGAAAGGAGUCUUUCUCAGAGUUAGCACUCUGUGGCAAUGGUACCAAGAAAGAAAUCGAGUGCCAAUUUUCCUAGAUGUUAUAACUCCAAUAGCUUAAGUAGGAGUGGGUGACCUGUUGAAAAUUUGGUUUACCUGUUUUCCAAGUUGAUAGCAAUAUUUACACUGUGCCAGGAACCCAAACAAGAACCUUAUAUAUCUUAGUAUUACCAUUUGGGGAAAUGAGACAUGGGGAGACCAGGCAACUUUUCCAAGUUAUGCAAAUAGUGAGAGAUGAAAGCCAGAUUGAGUUCAGAGAAUCAGGCUUGUAAGUCUGUGCUCCUAACCAUUUUACUAUCUGGUCUCCUUAGGAAGACACUGUAAUGUUUCUCCAGCCCCCAUCAAAAGUAAAAUGACCCCCUGGUGUUUUUAAGGUUUGCCUACUCAGAAGCACACACACACACUUAGCCUGUGUUGAAGAAUAGAGUCAACACUUAGUGUUCCAAAGGUGUUGAUAGCCAUGUGGGAAUAUGAACUUAAUGUUAUCAGAUUUUUAACAUUUUUUGAGAGAAACCAUAAUUUCAGAUUUUUUAAUGUAAAAUAUUUUGGUUUGAACAAUCUAAAUGAUGUGGACAUUUUAAAUUUGCUUUGCUGUGACUUAAAGAACCCACUGAGGGAGGGUGUAUCCUGUGUGGCAUUACCCGCAAUGAGCUUCAGCGUGAACUAGCUGAUUCAGAUGGGCAAUGCCCAGUUCCACAUGGCCCUGUCUGGCCCACAGUGUACUUGAUUGUGGAGCCAGGCAGAUCUUCUUUAGGGCUCUGUAAGUCCCAGAGACAAUAUUGACCCCCAAAAUGUUAAACCAGAUUCCAACUUAUUACCUUAUGGAUGGCUUUAAUCUAACUUGAGAGAAUCAGACUGUAACAAUCCUUGGCGUCCUAAGUGAGGUACAGCAAGCAAUUCACACCACUUGUGACAGUUGAAUUUUAUCCAUUGCGCCAAUGGCUCUAAGAGCUAAGAAACAGCCACAUGUUGUUAACAGAUUCAGAUGGGCUAACUCCCCCAAAGGAACACAGUAAGUGGAAUAGUAAACACAUGCCCAAGUGCACAGAAUCAGACAGACUGGGCUCCUUGGCUCAGCACUCAGAAGCCAUAUGGUCUGGAGCAACUUAUAGUUUCUAAGCCUCUGUUUCCUCAUCUCAUAAAAUAAGUGUAAAAGCAAUACUUAUUAGAUGUGUUGUAGGCUGAAAUUAUUUAAUGUGUGAAAAGCGCUUAGUGCAAUGCCGCUCUCCUAAUGAGUACUCCACAAAUGUUAGCUGUGACAACUGUUAUCCAAGUCCAAGCCCAAGCCAUCAGCUGUCAAAGCCUAGAUGGCCAUGAUUUGAGCUCUGUGUUAAGGCCUUGACUUAUCACAAUCACCAUGUUAUUACAUUUGACUUUCAGACAGGCUUGCUCGUCCACGUUCCCACUAGGAAAUGCUCUGAAAGUGGUCCAGUAUGAUUGCCGCUAUCCACAUGAUUUUUGAGCACUCAGGAUGUGGCUAGAAUUGAGAUGUGCUCCAAGUAUAAAGUACACACUAAAUCUUGGUAUGAAAAACAGAACAUCAAAUGUCUCAGUGGUCAUAUAUUGAUUACACAUUGAAAUGAUAAUAUGUUGGCUAUAUUGGGUUAAAUAAAGUAUAUCAUUAAAAUUAA